rnacentral:rRNA from 1 species
UACGUAGGGGGCAAGCGUUGUCCGGAAUCAUUGGGCGUAAAGCGCGUGUAGGCGGUUCGGUAAGUCCGCUGUGAAAGUCGGGGGCUUAACCCUCGGAUGCCGGUGGAUACUGUCGGGCUUGAGUACGGAAGAGGCGAGUGGAAUUCCUGGUGUAGCGGUGAAAUGCGCAGAUAUCAGGAGGAACACCAAUUGCGAAGGCAGCUCGCUGGGACGUUACUGACGCUGAGGAGCGAAAGCGUGGGGAGCGAACAGG